rnacentral:rRNA from 1 species
CCCUUAGAUGUUCUGGGCCGCACGCGCGCUACACUGUUCGACGCAGCGAGUCUUAACCUUGACCGAAAGGUUUGGGUAAUCUUCAGCAAAGUCGAACGUGAUGGGGAUCGAUCAUUGCAAUUAUUGAUCGUGAACGAGGAAUUCCUAGUAAGUGCAAGUCAUCAGCUUGCGCUGAUUACGUCCCUGCCCUUUGUACACACCGCCCGUCGCUACUACCGAUUGAAUGGUUUAGUGAGAUCUCUAGAUUGACGCUGGCUAGGGGGCGACCCUUGGCCAGACUGUUGAGAAACUGCUCAAACUUGAUCAUUUAGAGGAAGUAAAAGUCGUAACA